rnacentral:lncRNA from 1 species
CUUCCAUCGCUUGCGGGCCGGGCCGCAGGAAGCCGCGCUCGGCGGGCGUGGAGCCGCCCCACCGCCGGGCCGCGCGAGCCGGCAGUGAUGAUGAUUCAUGGUGCCCAGUACAAAGGAAAGACCACUUCCCUUCUGGGGCAGAGCUGGAGCCAGAGCCCCCGGCCCCAUCUCUUCUCUGCUCUGCUUGAGUCUUCUGGAAUGGACCUGCCUGCCAGGAAGCCAGGUCACCCUUGGUCCUGGUCUUGCCUGCCCCCUGGGGAACACAGGAGGGAGCCCCAAGGCUGGCCCAGGAAGUGCCACCUGCUGACUGACCACCAAAUGUUGUGGCCCAGGCAGUGGU